rnacentral:misc_RNA from 1 species
AGAGGAUCUUGUACAUGGCAAUAUGUGCUCGUGGUGCUACACCUGCUGCUGUGCCUCUUGCAUAUCCAAAGUGACUUACACCGGGCACAUGGUUUCCUGCAGCUGUGGAUGAUGUGUGGGUUCCAUGGCCAUAGAAGUCUCUUGGUGAGUCAUAGUCAAUCUCAGUGGAAAUAUUUCUCCCAGCCGCUAUAAGUCCCUUGCUGAAAGAUCGUGCCCCAAUAAGCUUCCUGUUGCAGCUAGAAGUGCUAAAUGCUGUGCCAUUCUCACACUGGCCUUUCCAUCUCUG